rnacentral:rRNA from 1 species
AGUGAACGCUGGCGGUAUGCCUAACACAUGCCAGUCGAACGGCCGCACAGUAAGAGCUUGCUCUUACGGGUGGCGAGUGGCGGACGGGUGAGGAAUACAUCGGAAUCUACUUUUUCGGGGGGGAUAACGUAGGGAAACUUAUGCUAAUACCGCAUACGACCUACGGGUGGAAUCGGGGGAUAUUCAGACCUUGCGCGAUUGAAUGAGCCGAUGUCGGAUUAGCUAGUUGGCGGGGUAAAGGCCCACCAAGGCGACGAUCCGUAGCUGGUCUGAGAGGAUGAUCAGCCACACUGGAACUGAGACACGGUCCAGACUCCUACGGGAGGCAGCAGUGGGGAAUAUUGGACAAUGGGCGCAAGCCUGAUCCAGCCAUACCGCGUGGGUGAAGAAGGCCUUCGGGUUGUAAAGCCCUUUUGUUGGGAAAGAAAAGCAGCAGGUUAAUACCCCGCUGUUCUGACGGUACCCAAAGAAUAAGCACCGGCUAACUUCGUG